UCAUUUUUGUCUUGUAGUAGACAUACUCCCUCCGUCCUAAUAUAUAAGGCGUAACCACUUUUUGUUCAUAUCUCAUAAUAUAAGGCGUGCUCUCUCACAAACAUUAAUGUAGCACUAUUAGUGCUGAGAGGGAGAGAAUUAAAUACGUUCUUGGUCUUUGAAUCAAAGGGUACGCCUUAUAUACUAGGACGGAGGGAGUAUAUGCUAAAGAUGAGCUAUGA
rnacentral:pre_miRNA from 1 species